UGGGGAAUAUUGCACAAUGGAGGAAACUCUGAUGCAGCAACGCCGCGUGGAGGAUGACGCAUUUCGGUGUGUAAACUCCUUUUAUAGGGGAAGAUAAUGACGGUACCCUAUGAAUAAGCACCGGCUAACUCCGUGCCAGCAGCCGCGGUAAUACGGAGGGUGCAAGCGUUACUCGGAAUCACUGGGCGUAAAUGAUGCGUAGGAUGGAAAUCAAGUCGACAGUGAAAGCCAACGGCUCAACCGGUGAACUGCUUUCGAAACUGAUUACCUAGAAUAUGGGAGAGGUAGAUGGAAUUAGUGGUGUAGGGGUAAAAUACGUGGAUAUCACGAGGAAUACCGAUUGCGAAGGCGAUCUACUGGAACAUUAUUGACGCUGAGGCAUGAAAGCGUGGGGAGCAAACA
rnacentral:rRNA from 1 species